rnacentral:tRNA from 1 species
AACUGCUAAUUCAUGUGCUCCACACCUAACAAUGUGGCUUUUUCA